rnacentral:rRNA from 1 species
GUGGGGAAUAUUGGGCAAUGGGCGAAAGCCUGACCCAGCAACGCCGCGUGAAGGAAGAAGGCUUUCGGGUUGUAAACUUCUUUUGUCAGGGACGAAAAAAAUGACGGUACCUGACGAAUAAGCCACGGCUAACUACGUGCCAGCAGCCGCGGUAAUACGUAGGUGGCAAGCGUUAUCCGGAUUUACUGGGUGUAAAGGGCGUGUAGGCGGGAAAGCAAGUCAGAUGUGAAAACUAUGGGCUCAACCCAUAGCCUGCAUUUGAAACUGUUUUUCUUGAGUACUGGAGAGGCAGAUGGAAUUCCGUGUGUAGCGGUGAAAUGCGUAGAUAUACGGAGGAACACCAGUGGCGAAGGCGGCCUGCUGGACAUUAACUGACGCUGAGGCGCGAAAGCGUGGGGAGCAAACAGGAUUAGAAACCCCAGUAGUCC